rnacentral:rRNA from 1 species
GACGAACGCUGGCGGCGUGCUUAACACAUGCAAGUCGAACGAUGAAGAAAAGAAUCGAAGCUUCGGCAGAAAUUCAUUUCGGAUUAGUGGCAGACGGGUGAGUAACGCGUGAGCAACCUACCUCUUACAAAGGGAUAGCCUCGGGAAACCGGGAUUAAUACCAUAUAACAUUGCAACGAAGCAUUUCGAUGCAAUCAAAGCUACGGCGGCAAGAGAUGGGCUCGCGUCCCAUUAACCAGAUGGUGAGGUAACGGCUCACCAUAGUAACGAUGGGUAACCGGCCUGAGAGGGUGAACGGUCACACUGGAACUGAGACACGGUCCAGACUCCUACGGGAGGCAGCAGUGGGGAAUCUUCCGCAAUGGACGAAAGUCUGACGGAGCAACGCCGCGUGAACGAAGAAGGUCUUCGGAUUGUAAAGUUCUGUGAUUCGGGACGAAAGGGUUUGUGGUGAAUAAUCAUAGACAUUGACGGUACCGAAAAAGCAAGCCACGGCUAACUACGUGCCAGCAGCCGCGGUAAUACGUAGGUGGCAAGCGUUGUCCGGAAUUAUUGGGCGUAAAGCGCGCGCAGGCGGCUUCUUAAGUCCAUCUUAAAAGCGUGGGGCUCAACCCCAUGAGGGGAUGGAAACUGGGAAGCUGGAGUAUCGGAGAGGAAAGUGGAAUUCCUAGUGUAGCGGUGAAAUGCGUAGAGAUUAGGAAGAACACCGGUGGCGAAGGCGACUUUCUAGACGAAAACUGACGCUGAGGCGCGAAAGCGUGGGGAGCAAACAGG